UCCUUAUUAUUUUACAAGGUUGAGCAGAU
rnacentral:piRNA from 1 species